AACGAACGCUGGCGGCAUGCCUAACACAUGCAAGUCGAACGCGUGUAGCAAUACACGAGUGGCGGACGGGUGAGUAACGCGUGGGAACCUGCCCAAUGGUAGGGAAUAGCUGCGGGAAACUGCAGCUAAUACCCUAUGCUCCCUACGGGGGAAAGAUUUAUCGCCAUUGGAGGGGCCCGCGUCGGAUUAGCUAGUUGGCGGGGUAACGGCCCACCAAGGCUACGAUCCGUAGCUGGUCNGAGAGGAUGAUCAGCCACACUGGGACUGAGAUACGGCCCAGACUCCUACGGGAGGCAGCAGUGGGGAAUAUUGGACAAUGGGGGAAACCCUGAUCCAGCAAUGCCGCGUGAGUGAAGAAGGCCUUAGGGUUGUAAAGCUCUUUCGGCGGGGACGAUGGUGACGGUACCCGCAGAAGAAGCCCCGGCUAACUUCGUGCC
rnacentral:rRNA from 1 species